rnacentral:lncRNA from 1 species
GCACAACUUUUCUGAUGAAAUACUUCAAGCCUCCAGGCCCCUGGUAACAGAAUAACAAAGCGAUGACACACGUCCCUCAAGCUACCAAGCAGCAACAUGGGGGCUUAACUUUUUAAUCAACGUUUUAAAAAUCACAGCGAUGUUUCUUAGCCAGAGACACUGAGCACAGCUGUGGGUGCGGUUCUCUAAGAGCCGCCCGGGUGCAGACGUGCUCACAAUCCACGACCCCCGCAGGCGGAGCCCCGGCUCCAGCCCGUCGGGCCGCGGGCUUCCCCUCCCCCGCCCCGCUCCCACCCGCAGGCCUCAGCGCUGACGUCACCGGCGCUCACGAGGCCCAGCCGACGCCCGAGGAGUCACGCGCUGCCGCUCCACCCCCACCCCCGCCGCUAGGGAGUGAUGCGCCCUCUGCAGAGAUCCCUCCGCGGCCGCCGCCUGGAAUUUUCCAGACGCUCUGCCGGCGCUUCUUUCGGACUUCUGCUGGGCAGGGGUGACCUGAGGCGACCCCCAGCAGUUCCCUUCGCUUCCAGAGAGCAGCCCCAACCCGCCUCAUCCACUCCCCACCCACACCUCCCCUCAAGGAACAGGAAGCCUGCCAACCCUCGGCUCCAUCACAGGCUGAGAAGGGGAUUUCUCUCCCCAUCCUCGUCCCCGUUGGAAUCCGCCUCCCCCCCAAGACAAAGGGUUGUGAGCCUGCCUGGGGAUGAGGCCUCAUGUGGUGGAAGCUGCCCUUAGCUUCGCGGGGCUGACAGCUCUGGCCCAGGGCGGUGGCAGUGCUCCCCUUUGGACUUUUCCUCUAGGUUCUGCGCUAACCUGUUCUGCGAGCUCACUCUGCCCACCCCCCACUCCCCCUCCUCCCCUUCACUCUCUCGAGGUUACCCAUUCACUUAAAACAUUGCUUCUGGUAAUCUGUGUUCAUCAUGGCGAUCUGAUGGCACCAGGAGAAAUGGAGCCCCUGGCCAGUGUGAGUCGUAGCGGUGCAGGAGGGGAGACCCUGGAGGAAAGAGCCCGCCUAAAUUGCUGUCUGCAGAAUGAAUUUCCAGAGGCUUAGGAGGAGGAAGUUCUCCAGUGGCAUGUUUCCAGGCCUUGCUCAGGAAGCCCUGUAUUCAGGAGGCCAUCCUUUAAG